rnacentral:rRNA from 1 species
CCUACGGGAGGCAGCAGUGAGGAAUAUUGGUCAAUGGGAGGAAUCCUGAACCAGCCAUGCCGCGUGCAGGACGACGGCUCUACGAGUUGUAAACUGCUUUUGUACGGGGGUAAAACGCUCUACGAGUAGGGCAUUGAAAGUACGGUACGAAUAAGGAUCGGCUAACUCCAUGCCAGCAGCCGCGGUAAUACGGAGGGUCCGAGCGUUAUCCGGAUUUAAUGGGUUUAAAGGGUGCGUAGGUUGUGUUAUAAGUCAGCGGUGAAAUACCGAGGCUCAACACCGGUACUGCCGCUGAGACUGUAGGACUAGAGAUCGGGUGAAGCAGGCGGAAUGUGUGGUGUAGCGGUGAAAUGCAUAGAUAUUACGCAGAACACCGAUUGCGAAGGCAGCUUACUGGGCCGGAUCUGACGCUGAUGCACGAAAGCGUGGGGAUCGAACAGGAUUAGAUACCCUAGUAGUC